GACGAACGCUGGCGGCGUGCCUAACACAUGCAAGUCGAACGGAACUUAUCGAAUGAAGUUUUCGGAUGGAUUUUGGUAAGUUUAGUGGCGGACGGGUGAGUAACGCGUGAGUAACCUGCCUUCAAGAGGGGAAUAACGUUCUGAAAAGAACGCUAAUACCGCAUAACAUACGGAUGUCGCAUGGCAACCGUAUCAAAGAUUUUAUCGCUUGAAGAUGGACUCGCGUCCGAUUAGCCAGUUGGCGGGGUAACGGCCCACCAAACCGACGAUGGAUAGGGGUUCUGAGAGGAAGGUCCCCCACAUUGGUACUGAGACACGGACCAA
rnacentral:rRNA from 1 species